rnacentral:tRNA from 1 species
GCACCCUUAGCUCAAUUGGAUAGAGCAUCUGACUACGGAUCAGAAGGUUAGUGGUUCGAGUCCACUAGGGUGUACCA